rnacentral:tRNA from 2 species
GCGGGCGUGGUGCAGAGGUAGCACGUCUCCCUCCCAAGGAGAAGGUCGCGGGUUCGAAUCCCGUCGCCCGCUCUA